rnacentral:rRNA from 1 species
UACGUAGGGGGCAAGCGUUGUCCGGAUUUAUUGGGCGUAAAGAGCGUGUAGGCGGCCGUACAGGUCAGCUGUGAAAACUCGAGGCUCAACCUCGAGACGUCGGUUGAAACCGUAGCGUAGAGUCCGGAAGAGGAGAGUGGAAUUCCCGGUGUAGCGGUGAAAUGCGCAGAUAUCGGGAAGAACACCCGUGGCGAAGGCGGCUCUCUGGGACGGUACUGACGCUGAGACGCGAAAGCUGGGAGGGACGAACAGG